UACAGAGACCCCAAGCAUUAUCCGGAAUUACUGGGCGUAAAGCGCGAGUAGCCGGUCACGUUAGUCUGAUGUAAAACCAUGGGGCCCAACCCCAUGUCCGCAUUGGAAACGGCGUGACUUGAGCGAAUAAGAGGAGAGCAGAACGUAUGGUGUAGGGGUGAAAUCCACUGAUAUCAUACGGAAUACCAAAAGCGAAGGCAGCUCUCUAGUGUUCUGCUGACGGUCAAUCGCGAAAGCGUGGGGAUCAAAAAGG
rnacentral:rRNA from 1 species